GAACGCUGGCGGCAUGCCUUACACAUGCAAGUCGAACGGCAGCGCGGACUUCGGUCUGGCGGCGAGUGGCGAACGGGUGAGUAAUGUAUCGGAACGUACCAUUCAGUGGGGGAUAACGCAGCGAAAGUUGCGCUAAUACCGCAUAUUCUGUGCGCAGGAAAGCAGGGGAUCGCAAGACCUUGCGCUGAUUGAGCGGCCGAUAUCAGAUUAGCUAGUUGGUGAGGUAAAGGCUCACCAAGGCGACGAUCUGUAGCGGGUCUGAGAGGAUGAUCCGCCACACUGGAACUGAGACACGGUCCAGACUCCUACGGGAGGCAGCAGUGGGGAAUUUUGGACAAUGGGCGCAAGCCUGAUCCAGCCAUGCCGCGUGAGUGAAGAAGGCCUUCGGGUUGUAAAGCUCUUUCGGCCGGGAAGAAAUCGUAUGGGUUAAUACCCUGUGCGGAUGACGGUACCGGCAUAAGAAGCACCGGCUAACUACGUG
rnacentral:rRNA from 1 species